rnacentral:rRNA from 1 species
GGCUUAGAGUUUGAUCAUGGCUCAGGAUAAACGCUGGCGGCGCACAUAAGACAUGCAAGUCGAACGGACUUAACUCGAAGUUUACUUUGAGAGCGGUUAGUGGCGGACUGGUGAGUAACACGUAAGCAACCUGCCUAUCAGAGGGGAAUAACAGUGAGAAAUCAUUGCUAAUACCGCUUAUGCUUACACUAUCGCAUGAUAGAGUAAGGAAAGGAGCAAUCCACUGAUAGAUGGGCUUGCGUCUGAUUAGCUAGUUGGUGGGGCAACGGCCUACCAAGGCGACGAUCAGUAGCCGGACUGAGAGGUUGAACGGCCACAUUGGGACUGAGAUACGGCCCAGACUCCUACGGGAGGCAGCAGUCGGGAAUAUUGCGCAAUGGAGGAAACUCUGACGCAGUGACGCCGCGUAUAGGAAGAAGGUUUUCGGAUUGUAAACUAUUGUCGUUAGGGAAGAUACAAGACAGUACCUAAGGAGGAAGCACCGGCUAACUAUGUGCCAGCAGCCGCGGUAAUACAUAGGGUGCAAGCGUUAUCCGGAAUUAUUGGGUGUAAAGGGUGCGUAGAUGGGAAGGCAAGUUGGUUGUGAAAUCCCUCGGCUCAACCGAGGAGCUGCAACCAAAACUAUCUUUCUUGAGUGUCGGAGAGGAAAGUGGAAUUCCUAGUGUAGCGGUGAAAUGCGUAGAUAUUAGAGGAACACCAGUGGCGAAAGCGACUUUCUGGACGAUACUGACGUUGAAGCACGAAAGUGUGGGGAGCAAACAGGAUUAGAUACCCUGGUAGUCCACACCGUAAACGAUGGAUACUAGUGUAGGUGUAUUAAGCACUCUGUGCGGCGCUAACGCAUAAGUAUCCACUGGNGUACGAC